rnacentral:lncRNA from 1 species
GUGGUGAAUAAUAUAAGCACUAACACCAUGAUUGCAGGUUAUGAGCUAUCCACAAUAUACACAUCAACAAUGCACAUGAAUAAUAUAAAACUCACCUGAUACUUACCUGUGCGUCCACAGCACCAAUUCACAUAUAUAUAUGCAUCAUACAUCAAUUCAUGCUUUUCAUAUACUUCUAUGCAUGACAUUUCAAAUCAUACUUUUCAUAUAAAUCUAUCCAUGGCAUUUUAAAUCAUACUUUCAUUUAAAUUCAAUUUCUGGGAAAACUCAAUAGUAUAUAGGUAAUACGAAAACAAAACUGCCCACUCACCUGGAGUUCGCCCUACAACUCCCUAGCACAACACAUCAAGGCGUC